rnacentral:rRNA from 1 species
UACAGAGGGUGCGAGCGUUGUCCGGAAUCACUGGGCGUAAAGCGUGCGCAGGCGGUUUGUUAAGUCUGUUGUGAAAUCCCCGAGCUCAACUUGGGAAUUGCAAUGGAUACUGGCAGGCUGGAGUAUGGUAGAGGAAGGUGGAAUUCCCGGUGUAGCAGUGAAAUGCGUAGAGAUCGGGAGGAACACCAGUGGCGAAGGCGGCCUUCUGGACCAAUACUGACGCUCAUGCACGAAAGCGUGGGGAGCAAACAGG